UACGUAGGGCGCAAGCGUUGUCCGGAAUUAUUGGGCGUAAAGAGCUCGUAGGCGGCCUGUUGCGUCCGCUGUGAAAUCCCGGGGCUCAACCCCGGGCCUGCAGUGGAUACGGGCUGGCUAGAGGCAGGCAGGGGAGAACGGAAUCCUGGUGUAGCGGUGAAAGUGACGCAGAGUAUCAGGAGGAACACCGGUGGCGAAGGCGGUUCUCUGGGCCUGUACUGACGCUGGAGGAGCGAAAAGCCGUG
rnacentral:rRNA from 1 species